rnacentral:lncRNA from 1 species
UUUUUUUUUUUUAAAGGGAAAAACAAGGCCCAAAGAGCUUCUUAACUUGGUCAAAGUCGCACAGCUAAUUACAAGCAGUGAAAGGAUGCAGACCAACUCUACUGGACUCCAAAAGUUGUGCACCCUUUCCACACAACAUCAGCCUAUCCUAAAAUGCAGGUGCCCCAGAGAAGAAUCAUUGUCAUCAUUAUGGGUCAGGCAUGACUGGGCACAGCCGCAAGCUAACUCUUUUUCAUCAUUGGUUCAGGAAAUCUAGUGCAUCAUCUUCUUCUGCUUGAGCUAUAACCUGAUACAGUGGCCAUGAAAAUGAAUGGAAUCGUUGAAAAUUUUCAACUACCAUCAGUUGCCA